CCGCCCACCAACGCUCCCCGGGCGCGGACGGAUACUGCCGCGACGAGACCGCUCUGGAAGGCUUCCUGGCGUACGUACUGGCCUUCGGCUGCUUUGUUACUCCGUCCAGGAAGAGCGCGGGCCAUCGGCCCGACGAAGGGCAUUUGUACCGGAAAGCUUGGAAGAAGAAUUUUUGCAGCUAUUUGAGUCAGUCUAAUAAAAAAUACCGGAUUUACCCAAA